rnacentral:lncRNA from 1 species
CCAUGGCUAAGCCCAGUGUGCACUGCUGUUCUUGUCAGAGGCUCCAGAAAAAUCAAAGGAUCUCGUAUUAAACAGAGGGUUGGCAGGUGUGCUUGGAGAUGUGUGGCUGGAAGAUGCUCAAUGUCCUCUACUUGGUAACUUAUUUCCUUCCACUGCAAGAACCAGUUUUUCUGUAGGGUUUGCAAUUAUGGAGUUGGAUGGAGUAAAUGAAAGCACCUGA